rnacentral:rRNA from 1 species
UACGGAGGGGGCGAGCGUUAUUCGGAAUUAUUGGGCGUAAAGGGCGCGUAGGCGGCCUGUCAAGUCAAAGGUGAAAUCCCUCGGCUCAACUGAGGAACUGCCUUUGAAACUGCCAGGCUUGAGGCCGGGAGGGGGUAGCGGAAUUCCCAGUGUAGCGGUGAAAUGCGUAGAUAUUGGGAGGAACACCAGUGGCGAAGGCGGCUACCUGGACCGGUUCUGACGCUGAUGCGCGAAAGCGUGGGUAGCAAACAGGAUUAGAUACCCUGGUAGUCCACGCUGUAAACGAUGGGUGCUCGGUGUCGCGGGUAUCGACCCCUGCGGUGCCUUAGCCAACGCGUUAAGCACCCCGCCUGGGGAGUACGGUCGCAAGGCUGAA